rnacentral:rRNA from 1 species
UACGAGGGGUCUAAGCGUUGUUCGGAAUCACUGGGCGUAAAGCGGGUGUAGGUGGCUUGGUAAGUUAGAUGUGAAAGCCCCGGGCUCAACCCGGGAAGUGCAUCUAAAACUGCUUAGCUUGAGUACGGGAGAGGGAAGCAGAAUUCCUGGUGUAGUGGUGAAAUACGUAGAUAUCAGGAGGAACACCGGUGGCGAAGGCGGUUUCCUGGCCCAGUACUGACACUCAGACCCGAAAGCGUGGGUAGCAAACAGGAUUAGAUACCCUGGUAGUCCACGCCUUAAACGAUGAUCACUUGGUGUUGGAGGUAUUGACCCCUUCAGUGCCGUAGCUAACGCGUUAAGUGAUCCGCCUGGGAAGUACGGUCGCAAGAUUA